AGCUAGUAAACAGUGUGAAUCUAAUUAAAAGAUAAUGUUAGCCAUUUUGUCACACAUGUUCCCCCUGCUAUGGGCCUAUCUUCUAGUCCGGGGGCUCUCUAUCGAGGUUUAAGGCUAUUGCUCUCUACUCGCAGGCUGUAUCUUUAGUUACUCUGCUACAGUAUCUCCACUUCCUCACCCUGGACUGCAUCUUCCUGACUUGGUGGUAUUUGUGCCGGCCAUCAGGCUUUACUGUGCUGACCCAGUAUUUCUCUCUCUCUCUCUCUCUCACGAGGAUCAAAUUUCCUUUUUAGUUUCUCAUACUGCAGGAGUUUCAAAAUAUUCCACAGCAAGCAAAUGGGAACUAGAAUCACAAAACAGAUAAGCAUGUGGGAUUAUAUAUGACGACAUACUGUAGGUCUGAUGAGCUUUGGAGCAUUGAUUUUCUCUGUGAAAAUAAUUACAUUCUGUGGUUUUUUUUUCUUCCAACUCUUCCUCAAUAUGGAAACCAGUAAGAGAAACACAGUACAUAAAAGUGUGUGUCUGGAAAGCCUGUGCUUUGCGCCGCACUCUAUACGCCUCCAGACUUCCAUUCUCUUUGAGGAUGGCUAGACUUUACGCAAACAUGUCUUGCACGGGGGGAUGAUAUUUCUGACAGGAGAAUUGACCAGCCCUAUCUCCAGAGCAGCAACUGCACAUUCAGAAUGAACACCACCCCACAAACCGGCCGCUGGAGGGGAACUUGAAAGAACAGGAGGGAGCGCACUGACGCACCUCUGAAGAUGGUUCAGCAUCGACCACUGACAGCCGACUUCAAAGGCCCAGUUAUGAACAUGACAGGCAGCCAGCGCAACAGCCUUUGAAACCAGUGCACAUUUUUAUCAAGAAUUUAUGCUCUAUUUAGAAGUGAUUUCUUUUUUCUUUCUCUCUUUUUUAAAAUGUUUUUUUUGCAGCACCGGGAAUUUGAUUUGACUGUACAUCUCAUCGCUGACACGGUAAACAAAGUUCAUUCCUGAAAUUGUCAUUCUGGAUGCUUGUUUCGGAAGCAGAAAAAAAAAAUACAACCAAGAGUCACCAGUUACGCUAACCUGCAUGUCUUUGGUCUGUGGGAAGAAGCACCUGGAGGACACCAACGCAGACACGGGGAGAACACGCAAACUCUGGUUUUAUCCAAGAAUGUUCUGGCGGUAAGGUGAGAGUGCUAACCACUGCAUCGCCCUGCAGCAUUACAUAUUUUGUCCAUGUCUUCAUGAAUUUAUAAUGCACUUGCACAGAGACAGGCUCGGCCAGAGGCAUUAACAUUUUGGGGUUGUCCUCCUGUCCAUCCAAAUAUCUUUCCUUCUGUCCUCGCAGGAACGCCUCGCUAAAUUUAAUCAAAGCUUGGUACAAAUGUCCACUUGGAGUCAAGGAUGAGCGGUAAGAAUUUGGUGGUCAAAGGUCAACGUGCCCUCCCUAUGUUUUUGUCCAUAACUCAAGAAUGAAUUAGCUAAUUAUGAUCAAAUACACUUCAUAGCUUUUCAUUUGAAUCCUUCAAAGUCUUUACCACAAGUAUUAUAUGAAUCAGGACAGAAAUGAUUGUAAACUACAACUUGAUUUUUUGAUGGAGGCAUAGACCAAUGAAUUCAAGUUUGUAUGUACAAUGUGGAUACUGCUACAACAGAGGUUUUACUAAAUAUGUAUGUAUUAUGAUCUUUUAUCAUUUGCCUUUAAAAAGGUCACCUGCACAAAAACAGGGCCCGUCACAGCCCUAAUCAUGCCAUGUUUCAUAAGGCAUAAAUACCGGGUGCAGUUUUCCGAGAGACAACAGCUACUACUGACUAACUCAUAAUUUCCCUCUCUGUCAUCUUUGUGAAAAGUGUGGUAUCUAUGUAAUUUUGUUGAUGCAGUGCAAUAAUAAAAAAGUAAUAAACAUAUCUUUAAAUAUUGUUGAUAAUAUGAGGGGAGAAUGAAGUCGUUACCAGAGAUUGAUAGCAGUGGGUUGCUACUUUUAAAUGUUGCAUUAUAAAUAUCCUCAAAACUGCUCAAAAGUUGCUUAUGUGUUGGCUUAGCAUUGUGGAAAGCCACUCCUCAAGUGAGUGUGCCUGAAGAGGUAUGAAAUUAAUUUCAUACCUUUUUUCGCCUCCCUCAUUUGCCCAGCAUUUUUUAGCUGGUCUCCUCCGCUCAAGCUAUGUGUCUCACCAUUACAGUGCUAAUCCACCCUUGACAAUGUUCAAUUUCCUUCGGGGAAUAUGGAGUGCGGUGGUGAAGAUUUGCAACCCUGUGGCCCAUCUAAGUAGUAUGAACGACAGUGCCUACAUCACACAGAGCCUGAACGUCUUCUGAAAAGAAAAAAACUCAUUUGAACUGAGUGGUCAGAUUUGGGAAUGCAAUCUCCUAUUACCUACAGAUUUUUGGA